rnacentral:rRNA from 1 species
AGUAGCAAUACUUAGUGGCAGACGGGUGAAGUAACAUGUGGGUAUCUACCCUUUGGCCUGGAAUAACACGAGGAAACUUGUGCUAAUACCGGAUAAGACCACAUUUCGCAAGAAAUGCGGUAAAAGGAGUCUCAAUCUUCACUCGAGGAUGAGUUCGCGCAACAUUAGCUUGUUGGUGAGAUAAAAGCUCACCAAGGCUACGAUGUUUAGCCGGCCUGAGAGGGUGAACGGCCACACUGGAACUGAGACACGGUCCAGACUCCUACGGGAGGCAGCAGUGGGGAAUAUUGCGCAAUGGGCGAAAGCCUGACGCAGCAACGCCGUGUGAGCGAUGAAGGCUUUAGGGUCGUAAAGCUCUGUCAAUUGGGAAGAAUUAUGACGGUACCAGUAGAGGAAGCCCCGGCUAACUCCGUGCCAGCAGCCGCGGUAAUACGGAGGGGGCAAGCGUUGUUCGGAAUUAUUGGGCGUAAAGCGUAUGUAGGCGGCUAAGCAAGUCAG